GUGUAAGAUCCCUGACUGAACCUAAUUGUAUAGAAUUUUUAAAAAAAAUUACAUAUCGUCGUCUCAAUUUUAUAUUACUUCGACAACUAAUUUUGUGUUGGAAUUUGAAGUGUGAGUUGAGUCUCACAUCAGAUAAAAUAGGAAUGUUGAAUGAUUUAUAAGAGAGAGGAAUGUUUGAAUUGUACAAGGAUGUGAUGAUCCCCCGGGCCCCCUCAUGACCCCACAGUGGUAUCAUAGCCGAUGGUUGUUGAUCCGAUUCCUUGUGUCUAAAGUCUUCUUGACAAGGUGUUUAGGCGACGUGUCCCGUUGAGACUAAGCAACAACAGUAGAAGUGGAUGAAAAACUUCCGUUCGAGGGGGAGCAUACCCAUAAAAUAAUGGAUGGACUUACACUUGUGGGGGGAGAUAUUGGUAUUUCAAGUGUGAGUUAAGUUCCACAUCAGAUCAAAUAGUGAAUGUUGAAUGAUUUAUAAGUGAGAUGACCCAAAAACCUAAUAUCUUAAAAUUUUAGGUAAAAGUAUGAUGUCCAACUCACUUGUGUAGUUGUUCAAGGCCCGAUGUGAUGAUCCAUGAACCCCUCAUGACCCAACAUUUUGCAAUUGUUUUUUUUGUUUGACAAUCAACAUUUUGCAAUUGUUUAAAACAUAUUAUUUCUCAUUUUGGUACUUCCCUUGUCUAUCAUGAAUGAUCAAAAGAAAUACAAAUAAUAAUAAAAGUUUGAUAAAAAAAAUAGACUAACUAUGAUUGCCAAUAAAAAGUUAAACUCACCACUUCGGUGAGAUAAAGGGUUUAAUUUAACAAAAAGGUUAUUUUGUAACAAAGUAAUAUUUUUUAUUUUUUAAUUGAAGUAUAAUAAGAGUAUGAUGGAUUUUACAUUAUAAAUAAAUUGGUUGAUUUACAAACUUUUAAUUUGUUUCUAUACUACAUGCAAAUGAGGAGAAAUAUGACUGCAAUUAUAAAGUUUGUUUAUGUGAUGUCCAUUUUUCUUUCACUGUUUCAUGUUGUAACCAGCUCUGAUAACCCAAUUGGGGAAAAAGAACUAGGCGGGACAGUCCAUUAAUACACAUACAACUUUGGUUGGAUCCGCAAAUGGGGUUUUGAGAUAGGGAUUGGAUCCGCCAUUGAUGAGAAAAAGUUCGAGUUUUGUGAAAUGGGUAUUGUUGGGAUUUGUGUGAAAUGAAAGGAAAAUGAAGAAAGGAAGAAAUUUUGAUUUUUAUUCAGAAGGAAAAGAAAAAGUGUAAUAAUUUAGGGACAAACAUGGAAAAUAGUAAUGUUUAAGGUAAAUGUUAUUAUUUUUUAAGGUAAAAGUGUUUUUUUUUACAAAUAAAAUAGUAUUAUAAGGAAUAUAAGGGGUACUCAAUUACAAUCCAAAGUAAAUUAUAGAAUUUGUUAGCAGAUUUAUCAUUUUCGAUUUUUAGCGAUUUUAAAUAUAUGUUAUUCAAUACAUGAAUGUCAUUUGUAGUAAAUAAAUGAUGAUGAUGAUGAGGCAUUGAUAUGUGA